rnacentral:rRNA from 1 species
CCUACGGGUGGCAGCAGUGGGGAAUAUUGGGCAAUGGGCGCAAGCCUGACCCAGCAACGCCGCGUGAAGGAAGAAGGCUUUCGGGUUGUACACUUCUUUUGACAGGGAAGAGUAGUAGACGUUACCUGUCGAAUAAGCCACGGCUAACUGCGUGCCAGCAGCCGCGGUAAUACGUAGGUGGCAAGCGUUGUCCGGAUUUACGGGGUGUAAAGGGCGUGUAGCCGGGUUGACAAGUCAGAUGUGAAAGCCUGCGGCUUAACCGCAGAACUGCAUUUGAAACUGUUUAUCUUGAGUACUGGAGAGGAAGACGGAAUUCCUAGUGUAGCAGUGAAAUGCGUAGAUAUUAGGAGGAACAGCAGUGGCGAAGGCGGUCUACUGGACAGCAACUGACGGUGAGGCGCGAAAGCGUGGGGAGCAAACAGGAUUAGAUACCCGUGUAGUC